GACGAACGCUGGCGGCGUGCCUAAUACAUGCAAGUAGAACGCACAGUUUAUACCGUAGCUUGCUACACCAUAGACUGUGAGUUGCGAACGGGUGAGUAACGCGUAGGUAACCUGCCAGGUAGCGGGGGAUAACUAUUGGAAACGAUAGCUAAUACCGCAUAAUAUUAAUUAUUGCAUGAUAAUUAAUUGAAAGGUGCAAUUGCACCACUACCAGAUGGACCUGCGUUGUAUUAGCUAGUAGGUGAGGUAACGGCUCACCUAGGCGACGAUACAUAGCCGACCUGAGAGGGUGAUCGGCCACACUGGGACUGAGACACGGCCCAGACUCCUACGGGAGGCAGCAGUAGGGAAUCUUCGGCAAUGGACGAAAGUCUGACCGAGCAACGCCGCGUGAGUGAAGAAGGUUUUCGGAUCGUAAAGCUCUGUUGUAAGAGAAGAACGGGUGUGAGAGUGGAAAGUUCACACUGUGACGGUAUCUUACCAGAAAGGGACGGCUAACUACGUG
rnacentral:rRNA from 1 species